AGAAGAAGAAGAAGAAGAAGAAUGUUCCAAUGCAUAAUACUUGCUGCUUGUUGACAAUGGUGCCAAAAAUUUUGGUUAAUCCAUUCAUCUACUCGUAUGAAGAUGAUAAGAGCAACCGUCAACAUAGUAUACAUAUUUGACACUUUGAGUAUGAAAAGAGAUAUACAGAGGACAUGUGUGAUAUUAUUUAUAGGUAUGCUUGACUAGUUGACUGGUCAAUUUUUAGAAAAAAUGAUGUUUUGCUGCAUGAAACUUCUCACGUUUCGAGAAAAGGAUAGAUUUAGAUAUUUAGUCUUCCUGGCACAAGCCAUCUUGUUUCUGAUAUGCUUCGAUAGUGGACUAAUUUAACUAAAAAGAAAGGAUGUUCAAUACAAGAGGUUUUCCUUGUUGCAAUAUCUGGGAGGGUUAAAUAUGUGCAACCUAUCAUGUGAAUACCAAGCUCUAGGAAGGCAAAAUGUCUGUACUAUGUAGCCUUUCUUUCUGUUAUAUAUGUCACACCCCACCAUGGAAUCAAAUAAUGGCCAUUACGUUAUGUAACGGUUGUUAUUUACAAGUUUUAAAGGAGG
rnacentral:misc_RNA from 1 species